CGAAGUCGGAGCUGCUAGUAAUCCCGAAUCAGCAUGUCGGGGCGAAUGCGUUCCCGGGUCUUGUACACACCGCCCGUCACGCCAUGGGAGUCGGAAGUGCCCAAAGUCGGUGACCUAACCGCAAGGAAGGAGCCGCCUAAGGUAAUGCCGAUGACUGGGGUGAAGUCGUAACAAGGUAUC
rnacentral:rRNA from 1 species